AAGAAUAUGAUGCCGAGUCCUGCUCUUUCACAAUCAGGGAGCAGGUACGGGGGACGAUUUACUGGGGUGAAUUUGCUAGAUUUACGCAUUAGGGAAUACCUCUUCCCGAACCCGUCAACUAACCUCGGAGGCUAUAAGGAGGAAAUGU
rnacentral:sRNA from 2 species